GCGCCUCUUUCUCAGUGACCGGGUGGUUUGCUUAGGCGCAGACGGGGAAGCGGAGCCAACAUGCCAGUGGCCCGGAGCUGGGUUUGUCGCAAAACUUAUGUGACCCCGCGGAGACCCUUCGAGAAAUCUCGUCUCGACCAAGAGCUGAAGCUGAUCGGCGAGUAUGGGCUCCGGAACAAACGUGAGGUCUGGAGGCUGGAUUACAUCCUGGGCCUGAAGAUAGAGGAUUUCUUAGAGAGACGCCUGCAGACCCAGGUCUUCAAGCUGGGCUUGGCCAAGUCCAUCCACCACGCUCGCGUGCUGAUCCGCCAGCGCCAUAUCAGGGUCCGCAAGCAGGUGGUGAACAUCCCGUCCUUCAUUGUCCGCCUGGAUUCCCAGAAGCACAUCGACUUCUCUCUGCGCUCUCCCUACGGGGGUGGCCGCCCGGGCCGCGUGAAGAGGAAGAAUGCCAAGAAGGGCCAGGGUGGGGCUGGGGCUGGAGACGACGAGGAGGAGGAUUAAGUCCACCUGUCCCUCCUGGGCUGCUGGAUUGUCUCGUUUUCCUGCCAAAUAAACAGGAUCAGCGCUUUACAA
rnacentral:misc_RNA from 1 species